GUAGUCUCGCACAGAUGCAUAUCAAUAAGCGGAGGAAAAGAAACUAACAAGGAUUCCCUCAGUAACGGCGAGUGAAGCGGGAAGAGCUCAAAUUUGAAAUCUUGAAAGGUCACCUUUCACGAAUUGUAGUUUAAAGAAGUGUUUUCUGUUACGAUCGUAAUAUAAGUUCUUUGGAAUAGGACAUCACAGAGGGUGAGAAUCCCGUCUAUGAUUGCGAUUUGUAGCUUUGUGAUACACUUUCAAAGAGUCGGGUUGUUUGGGAAUGCAGCCCAAAACGGGAGGUAAAUUUCUUCUAAGGCUAAAUAUUGGCGAGAGACCGAUAGCGAACAAGUACCGUGAGGGAAAGAUGAAAAGAACUUUGAAAAGAGAGUUAAAUAGUACGUGAAAUUGUCAAAAGGGAAGCGUUUAACACCAGUGUUGUUUUCUGAAAAUCAACCUCUGUUAGCUUUAUGCAUGUUUGUUUAGACCUAAUCAGCUAUCUUGCAUGUUCUAUUGUUUGCAGUGGUGCACUUUUCAGUUUACAGGUCAACAUCAGGUUUUUUUACCGUAAAAAAGCUAAAGAAAGGUAGCUCAUGGCUCCGGUCGUGAGUGUUAUAGUCUUUUUCCUAUGCGGUAGGAGAGACUGAGGUCUGCAGUGUAGGCUAUUUGGCUAGAUACUCAGGUGCUAUGUGAUACCAUUUCAUAAACAACUUGUUGAUUAUGUUUUGUCUAUUGCAUACUCGCUUGUACUAUCAUACCUACGCUUAGGAUGUUGAAGAUGUAGCACAUCAU
rnacentral:rRNA from 1 species